rnacentral:misc_RNA from 1 species
UAAUGAAAGUGUUGUGUUAUUAAUAAAACAUAAACUCGAUUAUUAAGACAUACUUCCAUGGCACAAUCAUCAGCACAAGUCUCUCAAUUUUCCUAUUUCCUCUGAAGAUUGGAAUUAAUGGGUGACAUAUUUUCAUGGUUCAUCACAAAUGAAAGCUCUUGGCUGUGGCACUUGAAAGGAUUCUUUAAUUAACAUUCCUGGCUGUUCCAUGUUUCUACAAUCACAAUAGCAUCCAAUUGACUGUUCCUUCAGAUGCUAUAUACGCCAAACUACUAACCAGUCAUGGCUAAAAGUAACUCUUCAAUGACAUAGUGCAUAACUCCUCCCAACUCCAAGGUAAUAGCACCAAUAACAAACAAAUUUGAAAAUCAUCACAUUCCGAAUGCAAUGUCAGCAUUCAUCCAACAGCAAACUCGGAUUUUCAGGUAGAUUUGGAGUAUAUCAUUACAGAGAAGUUCAGGUAAAAAUUAUUUUUUUAAAUUGGCUGUGGGGGAGCGGGGGGUAAAACUACAUAGAAAUUGAUUGCAUAACUAGAAAAACAUGUUUGAAGUGAGAACUAGUAGAAUGCCCCAAGACACCUACUCUGUUGCCUGCACAGGUUGAGAAGCUUCAGUUUGUUUCAGUGUUUCCAAAGCAGAGAUCCUUGUAUCCAGGGACUCAUGAAGGCCUUUCACCUGUUGAGAAAUGGAUUCAUGGGCAACCUUGUAAUCCUUAUAAAGAACGUAGAAUCCCAGAAGCGACGCCGUCGCUGCUCCGGCGAAGAAUGACGCCAAUCUCACCCUCAAUACGUAACCCAUCUCUCUCGACACUACCUCUGUCUCUGUCUCUCUUCUCUUCGAUUCAGA